rnacentral:tRNA from 1 species
GCCACCCUAGUAUAUAUAGUACCUGUAGUUUGCAUCUACAUAGAGACCAAAGUCGAGUGACA